CCUACGGGAGGCAGCAGUGGGGAAUUUUGGACAAUGGGGGCAACCCUGAUCCAGCCAUGCCGCGUGAGUGAAGAAGGCCUUCGGGUUGUAAAGCUCUUUCAGGUGGAAAGAAAACUCGUGGGUGAAUACCCUGCGAGGCUGACGGUACCACCAGAAGAAGCACCGGCCUAACUACGUGCCAGCAGGCGCGUUAAUACGUAGGGUGCGAGCGUUAAUCGGAAUUACUGGGCGUAAAGCGUGCGCAGGCCGGUUAUGUAAGACAGAUGUGAAAUCCCCGGGCUCAACCUGGGAACUGCGUUUGUGACUGCAUAACUAGAGUACGGCAGAGGGAGGUGGAAUUCCACGUGUAGCAGUGAAAUGCGUAGAGAUGUGGAGGAACACCGAUGGCGAAGGCAGCCUCCUGGGCCAGUACUGACGCUCAUGCACGAAAGCGUGGGGAGCAAACAGGAUUAGAUACCCUGGUAGUCCACGCCCUAAACGAUGUCAACUAGUUGUUCGGUGAGGAGACUCAUUGAGUAACGCAGCUAACGCGUGAAGUUGACCGCCUGGGGAGUACGGCCGCAAGGUUAAAACUCAAAGGAAUUGACGG
rnacentral:rRNA from 1 species